rnacentral:rRNA from 1 species
CUGAAACCGUGUACGUACAAGCAGUGGGAGCCCCACCACUAAGCCAGUGGUGAACUCCACAUACGCAUCCUUUGCUGAGGAUACGGUUAACGGAGCGAAAGCGACGUUCAACCGCAAAAGAAGCAGAGGGGGCUUAGUGGUGGGGUGACUGCGUACCUUUUGUAUAAUGGGUCAGCGACUUAUAUUCUGUAGCAAGGUUAACCGUAUAGGGGAGCCGGAGGGAAACCGAGUCUUAACCGGGCGUUAAGUUGCAGGGUAUAGACCCGAAACCCGGUGAUCUAGCCAUGGGCAGGUUGAAGGUUGGGUAACACUAACUGGAGGACCGAACCGACUAAUGUUGAAAAAUUAGCGGAUGACCUGUGGCUGGGGGUGAAAGGCCAAUCAAACCGGGAGAUAGCUGGUUCUCCCCGAAAGCUAUUUAGGUAGCGCCUCGUGAAUUCAUCUCCGGGGGUAGAGCACUGUUUCGGCUAGGGGGCCAUCCCGGCUUACCAACCCGAUGCAAACUGCGAAUACCGGAGAAUGUUAUCACGGGAGACACACGGCGGGUGCUAACGUCCGUCGUGAAGAGGGAAACAACCCAGACCGCCAGCUAAGGUCCCAAAGUCAUGGUUAAGUGGGAAACGAUGUGGGAAGGCCCAGACAGCCAGGAUGUUGGCUUAGAAGCAGCCAUCAUUUAAAGAAAGCGUAAUAGCUCACUGGUCGAGUCGGCCUGCGCGGAAGAUGUAACGGGGCUAAACCAUGCACCGAAGCUGCGGCAGCGACACUCAGGUGUUGUUGGGUAGGGGAGCGUUCUGUAAGCCUGUGAAGGUGGCCUGUGAGGGUUGCUGGAGGUAUCAGAAGUGCGAAUGCUGACAUAAGUAACGAUAAAGCGGGUGAAAAGCCCGCUCGCCGGAAGACCAAGGGUUCCUGUCCAACGUUAAUCGGGGCAGGGUGAGUCGACCCCUA